AUAAAUAAAUAAAUAAAUUACGAGGGAAAAACAUCUGAUGCAUUUGGCCUUGUAAAGAGGAAAUGUAUUGAUCGGGAGGGCAGUUUAAAGAUGGUGGUAGUAAUGGUGUCAGGUAAAGAAGAGAGUUAUUUUUCCACCUUU